AGCCCUGAGGUGUCAUCAUGUUAGAUUGCAAAUCUAAAGAAGUAGAUUACCCGUCUACCGGGGCUU
rnacentral:tRNA from 1 species